rnacentral:rRNA from 1 species
ACGCUCGACACCUACGGAAGGCAGCAGUGGGGAAUAUUGCACAAUGGGGGAAACCCUGAUGCAGCGACGCCGCGUGGAGGAAGAAGGUCUUCGGAUUGUAAACUCCUGUUGUUGGGGAAAAAGAGGAUGGUACCCAACAAGGAAGUGACGGCUAACUACGUACCAGCAGCCGCGGUAAUCUGAGCGGGCUGGCAAGGC